rnacentral:rRNA from 1 species
UCGAUUUGGAGUUUGUUGCCUUGAGUGAUGGGCUCCGAAGCUAACGCGAUAAAUCGACCGCCUGGGGAGUACGGCCGCAAGGUUAAAACUCAAAUGAAUUGACGGGGGCCCGCACAAGCGGUGGAGCAUGUGGUUUAAUUCGAUGCAACGCGAAGAACCUUACCUGGUCUUGACAUCCACAGAAUCUUGCAGAGAUGCGAGAGUGCCUUCGGGAACUGUGAGACAGGUGCUGCAUGGCUGUCGUCAGCUCGUGUUGUGAAAUGUUGGGUUAAGUCCCGCAACGAGCGCAACCCUUAUCCUUUGUUGCCAGCGAUUAGGUCGGGAACUCAAAGGAGACUGCCGUUGAUAAAGCGGAGGAAGGUGGGGACGACGUCAAGUCAUCAUGGCCCUUACGACCAGGGCUACACACGUGCUACAAUGGCGUAUACAAAGGGAGGCGACCUCGCGAGAGCAAGCGGACCUCAUAAAGUACGUCUAAGUCCGGAUUGGAGUCUGCAACUCGACUCCAUGAAGUCGGAAUCGCUAGUAAUCGUGAAUCAGAAUGUCACGGUGAAUACGUUCCCGGGCCU